UCAUGUCCUUGUCUAAAUUUGCUAAAAUACAAUUCGGUUCUAUAUUCAGAUUGGGUAAAGUCUAAUACAAGGCAUCCAACAGGAAUUACUAGGAGCUGUUUGACAUCAUAUGUCCUGUCCUACAUGGUAUUUAGUAAAUGGAGAUGUAAACACAAUGCAAAACCUGGAUGUGAGCCGCUAGUUAUAGGUUGUGUAUUGUUUAAAACAAAAACUUUGUUUUGUGUUAUAUAAUGUAUGAAUGCAGGAGAGCUUGUUCGAUUUCAAGCUGGUGUAACAAUGGAAAUCUUACGACUAGAUGCCUGGUAUUCAAGCAAAGAUGGUUCCCCGGAAGGCCCAGCUACAUACAUCGUGCGGGGCCUUUGUCGAAGGUGUUGCAUUCCAGAAGUUAUUCUUAGAUGUAUGCAGGUUUCUGUUUCGCUCGUGGAGUCCGGCAAUCCACUUGAAAGCCAUGAUGAGCUGAUUGAACUAGUUGCAUCACCUGAAACUGGGUUUCUCCAUUUAUUUAGUUAGCAGCAAUUGCAGGUAAUCUAUUAUCUAGAUAACGAGUCUUUACUUGCUUGGGGUGGCUAUUAUCGCAUUUUCUCUUUUCAUUCUUCUUCAGUCAUAGUUGACCUUCCCUAACCGGAGAAUUGACUUGGAUGCCAGUUUUGUCAACAUAAUUUUUGCCUUGGCAAUAGUGUUGCCCUCCUAAAUUUUGUCCAUCCACCCUUUUAUUAUUAUUAUUAUUAUUAUUAUUUUUUGGGUUUCUGGUAAAGUUGCCAAGAUUAGGGCCUUACUAUAAUCUUUACGCUUAAUUACAUUUUUGGUCUCCAAAAGUGUUGUGUCAUUUUGGUCCUCAAUACUUAAAUUGUGUCAAUUUGGUCCUUAAUGUACAAAAAUUUGGUCCUUAAUGUCUAAAUUGUGUCAAUUGGGUCCCCAAUGUAUAACAGUUGUUCCAAUUUACUCAUAUUUGGGAACUAAAACUGUAAUUAAGCCAUAAUCUUACUAUGUUAGAAAUUCGCCUGAAUGAUUAAAGGUGUUUUAUUUUUCAUGAGUUUGAGAAUUAUAUAGGUCCCACAAAUAAUCCAUUUUUGUAUUGUAACUUGUCGUUAUUUUGGUUGAUACAACAAUUAAAUACCAUUGAUUUUGCUGAUAAUUUUGUUUUGUUUUGUACAGGAAUUUUUAUUAUUAGAGAGAGAAUACUGGAUAUGCAAAUUGGAGCUUGGAGAGGAACUUCCUUGUUGAUUUGUCUGUAAAUUAUGAGGUGUUGAUUUAGGGUUUAAUUAUGAGGUGCUGAUUUAGUAGCAGUGUAAUGCUCUGCUGAUACAGUGGUAUUUUUGUGGAAUGGAUGAAGGGUUGAAGUUUUAUUUAUUUAUUUUUAAAUUUUUUUAAGUGGCGUGUUUUGGGUAGUUCUUUUCUACGCAGUAGGUAGAUUGAGAUCCUGUAUUUGUUGAUUCUUAAUUGAUUGUUGAACUCUCUACUACUUCCAUAAGUUUAUGCAGUAAUUACUCCAACUCCAACUAAA